UCAGGCGGCCGGGCGAUCGCUGGCAGGCAACUGCUGGAGGAAAGUCCGGGCUCCACGAUGGCAAGGCGGCGGAUAACGUCCGCCCGGGGAAGCGUCGCAAGACGCGUAACCCGAGGGAUAGCGCCACAGAAAGCAAACCGCCGCGUCGGCUACCCUUUCGGGGGCAACCGGAGCGGUAAGGGUGAAAGGGUGCGGUAAGAGCGCACCGCGCUUCUGGAAACAGAAGUGGCAAGGCAAGCCCCGCCUGGAGCAAGACCGAAUAGGGACGGGCGUCCGUGGGAAACCGCGGACAGGCGCGCCAGAGCGCUCCGUCCGGGUUGGUCGCGUGAGGCGGUCCGCGAGGGCCGUCCCAGAGGAAUGGUCGCCCAAUCGCUCAAAAGGCGAGGGACAGAACCCGGCUUACAGGCCGCCUGAUCGA
rnacentral:RNase_P_RNA from 1 species